UACUAGAGUAGCACUCGCAUAUCAAUAAGCGGAGGAAAAGAAACUAACAAGGAUUCCCCUAGUAACGGCGAGUGAAGUGGGAAGAGCUCAAAUUUGAAAUCUUAAAAGGUUUUCCUUUUACGAAUUGUAGUUUAAAGAAGUGUUUUCUGUUGAAGUCUUGGUACAAGUUCUUUGGAAUAGGACAUCAUAGAGGGUGAGAAUCCCGUAUUUGACCUUAAUUUUUCAACUUUGUGAUACACUUUCAAAGAGUCGGAUUGUUUGGGAAUGCAGUCCAAAAUGGGUGGUAAAUUUCAUCUAAGGCUAAAUAUUGGCGAGAGACCGAUAGCGAACAAGUACCGUGAGGGAAAGAUGAAAAGAACUUUGAAAAGAGAGUUAAAUAGUACGUGAAAUUGUCAAAAGGGAAGCGUUUGGCACCAGUGUUGUUUUUCUAAAAAUCAAUUUAAAAUUUGCUUAUGUUAAGUGUUUUAGACUUAAUCGGCUAUACAUUUAAUUCUUUGUAAAUUUUGAAUGCACUUUUUAGUUAACAAGUCAACAUCAAUUUUUUUUGCUGUAAAAAAGUAAGAGGAAGGUGGCUUGGGAUUCGUUUCCAAGUGUUUAUAGCCUCUUGCCCAUGCAGUAGGAGAGAUUGAGGUCUGCAGCAUAGAUCCUUCGGGGCUAGAUGCUUUUGUGCUAGAAGCUAGUAUUAUAUAGACAACUUGUUGAUUAUGUAAUAUAUUAGUUUCUACUCGCUAAAGUUAUUUUACCUACGCUUAGGAUGUUGAUAUGCAUGACUGAUAU
rnacentral:rRNA from 1 species